AAUUGUUUUUAGAAGUGAACAGUUUUAGAUGCUAGAUGCAAACGUGAAAGAUAGUAUAUGGUAAUACAAAAAACGAAGGAUUGGUAAAUGGGAGUCCGGGAAUUUUUAUUUCACUUACGAGUAGAAACAUGUAAUUUUUUUUCUUUUAUUCCAUAAGCUUGCGAUGUUUGAAGUCGUUGACAACGUCUUGCUUAGUUCAAACUGCUAGUCACCUGGGAAUUAUCUGAAUAAAUAAGCAUUAAAAUAUGAACAAAGAUUGGCGAGUCCAAGUUUAUGUGAAAUAUCAACAACGAUAUACGUCGAUUCAUAGGAGGUUUGAACUCAUCAACCUAAAGUUAGAAAUACAUGGCAAAAGAAAUUUAUCACAGAUUGUUAAUAUGUUUGCAAUCAGACAUUGACUUAAAUCAAUUCUUAAGACUUGUUUGUAAGUGAGCAAGUUUAUUAUUGUUUUAUGAAUGAUCGAGGUUGUGUAAAAUGGCACAGUUUGUAUUUGAAAGCUAAUUUGGAAUCCACAAAAUUUAAGAUAUAUAACAGAAAAGCUUUUAUACAGCUGAAGUCUUCAUUUAAUACCCCGAAUCCGUCAUUGUCUUUUAUUAUAAUACCGAGUUUCUAUGCAAGUUAGGUAAAACUCCAUAUUUGAAGUCUUGGACAUUGAAAUACUUAAACUGUAACAUUUGUUUUAAACUAUUAGGAUUAAAUUUUCAAAGUUUUGAUGGCACACAUUGUACUAUAGUUAGCAAGUAUAUAGAACGGCGAUGGUUGACAAAAAUGAACUACAAAUGUAACCACGGAAUGAACGUGAAGGUUUAUCGGAUUUUGAUUUUAACGCUGUUUAAUUUGUAUUCAGCUACCUUUAACAUUAAUGAUGAAUUUCUGCUAUUGGAUUUCUAAAACUCCUCUGAAAGCAUAUAGCAGACAAUGUCUUACGCAAAUACAAAAAAUGCUUUAAGGAUUUCAAAGCGUUUUCCACUGAUUUUUUUCUUAUGCAAAAAGCAAAUCUAUUACUGACUUUAAGCUUGAACUUCAAUCAUUCUCAUUUCUAUUUCGUUUCCAUAUUCUAUUAUAGAGGAUCUGUCAAGUAACAUGUUUUGUAUUUGAUUCUUUUUUUACACAAGCAGCACUAGUAUGAAUAAGUUUUAAGAAGAAUAUGACUUUGUUCCGGAAUAUAUUAACUGACUGAAAAGUAGAGAAUAUACUGUUUUUAGAAAAAAAAAAUUGCGAAUUGUCUGACGCACUAUUGUUUCAAUAUAUGAACCGUUGUUGGGGAUGAAAAAUGUUCAGUAAAAACCCCAAACUUAAAACUUAUUGCGCAUGUAGAUCUAAAGUAGUUUAUUCAAUUAACUAUUCGACUGACUAUUACAACUGGGCCAUUGAUAUAUAAAAUGAGCGAAUAUUCUAAUGGCUUUAGAAUUUUCAAUAUAAGAUAAAACUUCCGAUCAUUUACACAAAAAGCAAGAACUUAAGACUGCUUUUUAAC